AGAGUUUGAUCAUGGCUCAGAAUCAACGCUGGCGGCGUGCCUCAGACAUGCAAGUCGAACGAUUAAGACUCUCUUCGGAGAGUGUAUAAAGUGGCGCACGGGUGAGUAACACGUAGGUAAUGUACCUUUGAGUGGGGAAUAACUUAGGGAAACUUAAGCUAAUACCGCAUAAUGCAGCGGCUCGACAUCGAGACAGUUGUUAAAGGAGUAAUUCGCUUAAAGAGCAGCCUGCGGCAGAUUAGCUAGUUGGUAAGGUAAUGGCUUACCAAGGCUACGAUCUGUAACCGACCUGAGAGGGUGGUCGGUCACACUGACACUGAAUAACGGGUCAGACUCCUACGGGAGGCAGCAGUCGGGAAUUUUGGGCAAUGGGCGAAAGCCUGACCCAGCAACGCCGCGUGAAGGAUGAAGUAUUUCGGUAUGUAAACUUCGUAAGAAUAGGAAGAAUAAAUGACGGUACUAUUUGUAAGGUCCGGCUAACUACGUGCCAGCAGCCGCGGUAAUACGUAGGGACCAAGCGUUGUUCGGAUUUACUGGGCGUAAAGGGCGCGUAGGCGGUUUGUCAAGUCAGUUGUGAAAUCUCCGAGCUUAACUCGGAACGGUCAACUGAUACUGUCAAACUAGAGUACAGAAGGGGCAAUCGGAAUUCUUGGUGUAGCGGUGAAAUGCGUAGAUAUCAAGAGGAACACCUGAGGUGAAGACGGGUUGCUGGGCUGAUACUGACGCUGAGGCGCGAAAGCUAGGGU
rnacentral:rRNA from 1 species